rnacentral:rRNA from 1 species
UUGCACAAAGUUGGAAGUAGAUACUACUUAGUGGCAGACGGGUGAGUAACACGUGGGUAACCUACCUCAAAGACUGGGAUAACGUUUAGAAAUGAACGCUAAUACCGGAUAAAUUAUAGAAAGAAAACUUUUUAUACUAAAAGGAGCUUCGGCUUCACUAUGAGAUGGGCUUGCGGUGUAUUAGCUAGUUGGUGGGGCAAUGGCCUACCAAGGCAACGAUGCAUAUCCGAGCUGAGAGGCUGAUCGGACACAUUGGGACUGAGACACGGCCCAGACUCC